AUAGCAAACUACGCCAUAAUCUAGUUAUUGUGUUUGCUUCCCAUUUUGCUCACUGAACCAUGUGGCACCAUAUGAGUUAUAGAAGACAUUACCUUUCAUCUUCCUCACAACAAGACAUUAAUUUAGGUCCCUCCCACCAACAGAGAGAGAAAAACCUGUCUGUCGUUUCAUUCAUAUGCAGGCAUGAUUCAAUUAUACAGGACCUCACGUCAUAGCACAGGCAAACUUGAGUAAGUUCUGUGUGAGUUUAGCAAUCACACAUGGAAACCCUCACUGAACUCUUCAAAACCUCCAAACUGAACGAGAACAAGCAGAAAGCUCUCCACCCUUCUGAUACCACCAAGCAUUUUUUAUCAUCACAUGGUUGGCAGGUGGAAAUGUGUAUUUUGACUUUGACUUUCAUACUGUGAGUUUGCAAGAGUGAAAAACAUGGGUGGUGGGAUACUGCUACACUCACUUUCUCUACAUCUGACCAUUUCAGAGAUUGUGCAUGCGAGAGAGACAUAUCCAUGUGGGUAGUCAAUGCCAAGGUCUCUGCACUCUCAUUUGGAUGUAAACACAGUACUGAGUGCCUUUAUGCAGAUGUAUUUUUCAUAUUGUAUUUCAGUGGAGGGCAUUUAUUGCAUACCGAUUUAAUGUUUUGCUUUUAAAAUUUUUACCUUUGUGUUUUUUUUUUUCCCAGACGAUAAUUGCAGAACAGAUCAGCUCCUGACAAUAGUAAGUUACAAACAACAAUGAAUAACAGUAAAUAGAUUUGAAAUGCUGUUACAUUACUGUAAUAUUCAUCACUACCAGGUAUUCUACACUAUGGUUGCUUUUGUCAAGAGUCAAAGAAACGUCAAUAAAUCACAAAUAACAAUGAUUCUUACAAUGGUAGUUAUCUUUCUCUCUCUCUCUCUCUACCUUCUCUUUCUUGGAAAUCUCUAUAAAGGACUAAAUGUCAGCUGCUGGUCUUUGUAACAGCUGAUGAGGCAGAUAGAAGAGGAGACAAGUCCCAUCUGGAAGGCUCCAUGGCAGAGCAUUUAAAGCUGAACACUGCUGUUAGAGAGAAUGCAUUAUUAAUGUGAGGGGAAACUAACGGGGACCAGCAGCUCCUCGGGGCUGUGAAGAGGACGGUUGGCGUCUCCGAGGAAGCAACACCACGCCUCAAAGGUCUUCCUCGAAAUCACAGCCCUGAAACUCCAGAUGAAGACUAGACCUUUAUUCUGUACGCAGAGAGAGAGCCGAAGAAUCACCAGGAUGAAUAUUCCGAAUGUUUCAAAUCCCUGAGCUGUGGAGGAUUUUAAGGCAAGUGUGUACACACACCUCAGAAAGGUUGCAAAGAAGGGUUUAAAAAUCUCCUCUUUCUGCCUAU